CAGGAGUGGCACGGACUCUAGCAGUGGUC
rnacentral:piRNA from 1 species